CCCCAGUUGCAUUUCUUAGGUUCAAUCUUUCCAUCACCUGCAUGUCACCCAAUUCUCUCCCUGACAUUGUAAUUUACCAACAAUUCUAAACUUUUUUUGGUUUAAUUGGAAACGGUGGAUGGAGAACCUCGAACUCGUAAAAAUGACAAGCCAAUGAGUUACUCAUCACUCAAAAGUGUCGGCUAUAAUCAAGCCGGUGACAAACGAACGAGUCGUCCUUCACUUAGAGAUAUUGUUGCUAGUCAAGUUGCAAUUAGGUAUAGAGUGAUACUCUAUAGAGGGUCUGUAUUUUGUAACUUCGCAACAUUCCCAAUUUUGAAUAAUAGGCUUACAAAAACAGAUUUAUCUUUUUGCUUCUCAUGACUUACAUCGUUAAAACAUUUUCGAGAUAAUUAACAUACAUCGUUAUAACAUUCCAGACUGACAAUAUUCUAUGGAGACUUAGAGAUUUUUCAAAUAUAUGUUUUUAUACUUAUUUUUAACAAUGAUG
rnacentral:lncRNA from 1 species